rnacentral:rRNA from 1 species
GAUGAACGCUGGCGGCGUGCCUAAUACAUGCAAGUCGAGCGAACAAACGAGGAGCUUGCUCCUUCGACGUUAGCGGCGGACGGGUGAGUAACACGUAGGUAACCUACCUAUAAGACUGGGAUAACUUCGGGAAACCGGAGCUAAUACCGGAUAAUAUUUCGAACCGCAUGGUUCGAUAGUGAAAGAUGGCUUUGCUAUCACUUAUAGAUGGACCUGCGCCGUAUUAGCUAGUUGGUAAGGUAACGGCUUACCAAGGCAACGAUACGUAGCCGACCUGAGAGGGUGAUCGGCCACACUGGAACUGAGACACGGUCCAGACUCCUACGGGAGGCAGCAGUAGGGAAUCUUCCGCAAUGGGCGAAAGCCUGACGGAGCAACGCCGCGUGAGUGAUGAAGGUCUUCGGAUCGUAAAACUCUGUUAUUAGGGAAGAACAAACGUGUAAGUAACUGUGCACGUCUUGACGGUACCUAAUCAGAAAGCCACGGCUAACUACGUG